UUCCUUGACUUUGACAAUUUUUCAGCGUCACAAGCAAGAAACCACCACCUGUGGGCCCCAGUGAGAGACUGAACUUACAAAGAGACGAUGACCACAGCAUAUGGAAAGGAAGAAGGAGCCACCCUCUGCAGGAGCCCUGAAGCCCGAAGAGCAGGAGGCCAGGCACUCGCCUUAGGACGGGGCCAGGAGGCCAGGCGCUUGCCUUAGGAUGGGGCCAGGAGGCCAGGCACUUGCCUUAGGACGGGGCCAGGAGGCCACACAGUGAUCCCUGUAGCAGUGGCCCCAUGCGGCCAAGACUUAAGAUAGCAGACACCUUCCCCGAUUUGUGUCUCUACUUAAAAUGUAAGAUCAGCUGGAGAAAGCCCAGUGUGCGCCCCCACCAAGCCCACAGGACUCCUGCUCCUGCAGAGCCGCCCCCGCCCCGUCAGGCCCACCGUGCUGGUGCUCAGGGGGCUGCAUCCUGCUGGGAGCACGAUUCCGGGUGUUUCUCCAGGCGCUGAGUCCGUGCCUCCUUUUUCGGUCACACAUCUUAUCAUUUGAGUUUAGCAUCUACUUAUAAACAUCAUUUUCAAAUCUGAAUCCUGCUUCCUCACUACAAUAAAAAGGAGAGACAAAAGGAAGUUGCGCCUACAACCUUCCAGAAGCCCUGAGGAGCCGCCCCAUGCCUGACGCCACAUCCCACAAGCUCCCGAAGUCGCGGAUGGCUCAGUGACAUUCCAGAUGCUGUCCCAUCGCUCAGAGUCCCGAGACACAGACAUGAACACCAAGUCCAUCCUUUGAGGAAGGCAGACUUGGCGGGAAUGUGGUUUUCUUCAAAGGUGAGGGGGUAGGGGGAGCUGCCAGGGCCCAGCCGGCAGGGGCAGGAGGGGCGGGGCUUCGGCCCAGGGCCCUGCACGGGGGUGACCAUCAGUGCCCCCCAUCACCGUGACAGUCCUAUCCCCAGUCUGCAAAAUGCCCCCUGGAUGGAGCAUCCCAUGAGAGCCGGGCCAUGGAGAGGCUGGAAUGUGCCAGACUCUGAGGCACCCAGGGGGUCAGCCUUUCCCUCUGGUUGGUCCCCCUGUGCCACACCGCAGCCUGCGCCUGGCCAGCUUCCCGUCCCUGCGAGCACAGCCUGCGCCUGGCCAGCUUCCCGUCCCUGCUGCGACCCCAUUACUAGGUCAUCGUCUCAUGCCAGAGAACUCGCAGGAAUCGCAUGCAAUGUUUAACGAGAGGCAGAAUGUGGGCACCAGGUGUGAAGCAGUCCCCGGCUGUGGACGGGAGACUCCAGGCUGCGCCAGGCAGGGCGCCUUCCCCUGGACCUUGAAGGGCACCCGAUGUCCUGGGGCCGUGAGGGGCGGGGUGCUUAUCCAUGUGACAGGACUCUUCCAGUAGCAACAGGGAGGGCCCAGCAAAACCCGCAGUUUGUUUCGGGCCACGUUCCAACAAGUGACUCGGCGGCGUCUCCCACCUGCACACUCAGUCAGGAGGCUGCAGUCUCCCGUCCAGCCCCACAGCCUGAGGGAUUCCUGUUGGUUACCCAGAACUGCCUGCCACAGGUGCCAGGGCAAGAGAUGUCACUCAAUUUUCCAGCCCCCAGUCCUGUAGACAUCCUGGGUGUGCGGCACACAUCGGCUCACUCACACUGACCCUCUGAGCCGGUGAGAACUCCACAAGAAGAGGGCCAGCGCCUCACAAGAUCAAGGCGGAACAACGCGUUUGUGGGAUGAUGAAGACCUCAUAACAGACGUGCCAGUGGGUUGAUUACUGUGAAAUUCUCAACUGUGGUUUCUGUAACUUAAAAAAAAAAAUUUCCACUUUGGGAGGCCGAGGCGGGCAGAUCACGAGGUCAGAAGAUCGAGACCAUCCUGGCUAACACAGUGAAACCCCGUCUCUACUAAAAAUACAAAAAAUUAGCCGGGCGUGGUGGCUGGUGCCUGUAGUCCCAGCUAUCUGGGAGGCUGACUUAAGGGGACUUGGGGAUUUCUUUUUCUCUUUUAAUUUUUAAUUUUGAAAAUGAGGCCCUGUAAACACUGCUUAUAUUUGGCCACUAAGUGGCCUCCUAAAUGGCUGAUUUCUUUUUAAAGUAUGAAGAUUGUUUGCUGUGGCAUUAUUAAUUACACACAGAUUUGUACCACUUUCCUCCACUAGAAUUAAGGAAAUUUGUAAAACCAACUCGUGGUCAGACUCCAGCAAAUGACCCAUCGUUUUCCACCAGUGUCUCUGUUUCUAUGUAAAAUUAUAGAUUAAACGCCAAGUCCUCUGCCUCCACCUGUCCAGGGUAAGUAACCACCUCCAGAAGUGAGAAGCUGGGAGUGGCUCUGAGAGGGGCUGACUCAAGUAUUCUCCUAAUAAAUAGGGGCGGGCGAAGCAUCAGGGCGAAUCCCACGUGAGGCAGAAAAGUGAGCUGAACUAUCCUGGAGUGUUUUGUUGCAUUCCAUAUCUUAUUUUCAAUUGUCUGGUGUUUCCAGCUUUUAUUGGCUCUUGUCGAAAUCAAAUUGGAAGAUCUUCAGUCCCAGCUGCACCCAACGUGGAAAAGUAUUCCAGGUCCAUCCCCAAGGAACCAACACCGAUGACAUGGACUCAGGAAUCUUAUAACCUACGUGGACUCUUUCCAUCCGUACAUUGUCGUGCACAUGCCACUCAUCACCUGGCGUGCCCAGAUCCUCGCAGGGCAACACCCUGUGAUAAUUCCAGGUGAUUCUCUACAUCUGCAGCUUGAGGUUAGCCUCAUAUCACAUUACAUUCUCACUAGAAACAAAACAAAAAUGAAAUACUUAAAACAUCUACCAGAACAGAAUUAGGACUGGAAAGCAGCGGUCUUAGCUGACAAACAAGUUGUGCCAUCUGAGACUCAUGGGAGUAAAUCUCCUCUUUCAUAGUAAAAUCUCAUUACAGAAUGUUCCUUGACUUUGGCAAUUUUUCUGGGUCACAAGCAAGAAAAAAACAUAAGCAGGCGGAGAGAGCUCGCCCUGCCACCUGGGGCUUGUGUGUCAGCAGCUCCAGAGAGGAAUUGGGAUGUGAAAAGUUCAGCCAAAAUAGAAAGAAUUAACAUUUUUGCUAUAAAAAAGGAGCAUCUGCUGCCUUUUCAUGAGGACCUUCUCCAUAGGGGUCCUUUGAUUAGGCGGCAUUCCACUCAGUUUAAAGUGCUUUUCAAAUCAUCUCCUCAUUUAUUUCUCUAUCACUUCUUCUAGGAAGAUAUUUCAUCCUGAUGGUAUACUGGAAGCGGCUGUCUUUUCCCAUUGAGGAGUCCUGCCAUCCUGGCACCUGUGCCAAAGCCCAUUCGACCUUGAGUUUGAGGGUUUAUUUCUGGGUCCUCGCCUCUGUUCCCUUGGUCCAUACACCACCUUUAUAUCAGGACGGUGAUGCUUUCAUUCCUGUGGCUUGGCAGUAAAAUUUUGAAUCAGGAAAUGUGAGUCUCCAGCUUCGUUCUUUUUAGGAUUGUUUUGGGUAAUCAGGAACCCUUGAGAUUCCAUGUGAAUUUAGGGUGGGUUUUUCUGUUUCUCUGAGAAAUAUCCUUGAGAUUCUCCCAGGAAGAUAUAUUGUUUUGAGGGCUUUAAAACUCCCUAUAAAUAUUGCUGUACUUUGGGGGCCCUUUUCUUCCCACACUGUGUUUUUGAGAUUUACCCAUGCUGUUGUGAGUACCUCGCUGAAUGCAGCACAUACUGCAUCAUACAAGUGCAUCCUGAUCCAUUUCCCCUGACGGACGUGUUCAUUUUUUGUUAUGGCAAUGCUGCAAUACACGUUUUUAGCUGUGCCUCUUUGUGCUUGAAUGUGAGGGGUUUUCUAAGGUGUGAACCUCAGAACAGAGUCGCCAGGCCAUAGGGUGUGCACAGCCUCCGUCUGUCCUGGGCGGCCCCACGCGGGCUCCACACUGGUUUCCGUCUGUCCUGGGCAGCACCACGGUGGCUCCACACUGGUUUCCACACUGGUUUCCGUCUGUCCUGGGCGGCCCCGCGCGGGCCCCACACUGGUUGUGCGUUUCUCAGGCCACCAGCAGCGUCCAAGAGCUCUGGCCGAUCUGCCUCCCUCCCUGCGUCUCGGCAUCUUUGUCUGGCACUGCUGAUGGUUUUGCCUAAACGGCUCUUUGCUGUGGGGCAUCCUGUGCACCGUGGGACGUCUUGUGCACUGUGGGGUGUUGAGCCGCAUCCGUGGUCUCCACCCACAGAUGACAACGACACCCCCAGCUAUGAAACCAGAAAUGACUCCACACAUUGCCAAAUGUCCCCCAGGGCAAAGUCACCCACUUGGGCGUUAUGUUACCCACUGAUGAUCUGAAUUUUUGUCCAUUUCACCUGUCUGAGUUUGUGUGUCUCUGAGCACUGGUGGGACUGAGCGUGUCCGUGGCUUGUGGCCACUCCUGCUUCCUGUUUGUGAAUUUUAUGUUCAUAACGUCUGCCCCUUUCUUUGGGUUUUUCACUUUAUUCUUAUUAUUUUGUAAAUUCCUUAAGUAUUCUGGAUACUUACCUUUUGUUAUUCUAUUCUAGUAGUCACUGUCCCCAAAACAAUGUUCAUAAAUUUGUUCUUAUAAAGAUGAGAAAUAAAAAACAUUGAAUUUUAGUGGGAAGUCUGAAGCUCAGAGAGCCUGGGCCAAUGGUACAGGUCACACAGCACAUCAGUGGCUACAUGUGAGCUCAGACCUGGGUCUGCUGCUGUCUGUCUUCCCAAUAUCCAUGACCUUGACUGAUGCAGGUGUCUAGGGAUACGUCCAUCCCCGUCCUGCUGGAGCCCAGAGCACGGAAGCCUGGCCCUCCGAGGAGACAGAAGGGAGUGUCGGACACCAUGACGAGAGCUUGGUGAGUACCAGGCCAAGCUGCUAACUCCCAGCAAUUUGUAUGUCAGACUCUACAGACAAUUCUGUGCUGUCUAUUUUUGCUCAUCUUUAAAACAGCCACGAAAUAUGCAGCUUCCUUUCCCUGAGAAAAUGGCAAAGAAAAUUCAACACAGAAGGCCAGGGAGGGUGUGUGGAAACGAUUCACAUGUUCAAAAGAUUUAUAUGUGUAGAAGAAAGCUGUGAAGUGUGAAGUAUAUUUUCUAUUGUAGAAUGGAUGAAAAUGGAAUAAAAAUAAUAUCCUUUGCUAGGCAGAAUAAAUAACUUCUUUAAACAAUUUUACGGCAUGAAGAAAUCUGGACCAGUUUAUUAAAUGGGAUUUCUGCCACAAACCUUGGAAGAAUCACAUCAUCUUAGCCCAAGGUGAAAACUGUGUUGCGUAACAAAGAACAUGACUGCGCUCCACACAUACAUCAUUGCCCGGCGAGGCGGGACACAAGUCAACGACGGAACACUUGAGACAGGCCUACAACUGUGCACGGUUCAGAAGCAGGUUUAAGCCAUACUUGCUGCAGUGAGACUACAUUUCUGUCUAAAGAAGAUGUCCCUGACUUGAUCUGUUUUUCAGCUCCAGUUCCCAGAUGUGCGUGUUGUGGUCCCCAGGUAUCAACUCCAAAUUCCUGGGAGCAGUGCUCUGGCCGUACCUGUCUGGGUUUGUUGGCCAGCGCUGAAUCCGCUUAGCCAGGAGAGCAUGCCCACACCUGGCCGACAGGAGCCUGUCUUCAGCAACUUUCAGUUAACGCGUCCCUCUUGCCCCAUGCUUGUCCUGCCACACAAAUGUGAAAAUGCAACGUUACAAAGAUCUGUGCCUCAGACACCAUUUGAACACAGAGAAACUCGUGGGCUUAUGUGACUACACUUUUCAGGUUACGGAAUUUCUUUAAGGUGUACCCUUGAGUUUAAUAUACUUAUUAAUAACUUAUCAUUACAGAGAAAAAAUUACCAGAAGUACAGGGUGUUUUUAACGGACUUUCUUCUCUUGCACAUUGCUGGGCAUGGCGUGUACUGUGACAGGGCGGAGUGAUGGGCUGAGAAUGUGUGUGUGUCUCCAACAGUUCCCAAACGUCUACAUUUUCAAGAAAAAGGCAAUCUACAUCAUCUGGAAAAUUGUAACUUAGUAAUUAAUUAGGAUAAUUUCCCUAGGUUCUCUGUGCUGCAUGAGACCACAGCGUAUUCAUUAAAGAGGAAAGCUGAAUAUUGGCGGAAAACAGGGUUGUAAAUUUGUAACAAGUUUUUCUAUCAGAAAAUGAAAUGCAAUUUUCUGUCCUCUCUGAGCUUUUACCACAUAGCUCUUAGCAAUGGGUGUUUUUUCUGUCAUUCCACUCAAUUCUCACUCGAGUAAACCUCCAAGCAAUAAGAAUGUUGUCUUUCCUGUUUAGACUAGACUGACUACCUUUCCAGGACAGUCCAUUAAGUUGAUUUCCAAUGGUGAAGGGUCAGACACGCCUCCCCUGGGCAGAUCAGGGAUAGUUCAUAGCAUUUGCCAAAUAGCUGUCUGCAGCUGCAGCCAUCACCUCCGUAAUCAACACUGCCAUUGUCUGAGCCUUCCCUUUGCAGGAAUGGUGUCAGUGCACCCAGGCCUCGUAAGGGAGGCGGCCCUUGCUACAGCUGCACCUGCCUCCUCCAUCACCACCUGCCUCCUCCAUCACCACCUGCCUGUCACCUGGGAGUCAGGCCCGCUGCCCUGGAGGUGGGGUCAAACCAGUGCCAAAGUCACCCAGGAGCCAGCCAGGGCCUGGGAGUUCUCCCUCAUGACACGCCGGCAGCAGGUGAACAUUCUAAGGCUGACACUUCUGGGCAUUCGCUGAGAUCUUGGGAAAGAACUAGCCCCCCGGCCCUGCUUUCACUUAGAGAUGGGAACAACGAUUGCCCUGAGUUCCUGGGAGCUACAGGAGAAAUAUGCGCCCUGAGUUCCUGGGAGUUACAGGAGAAAUAUGCACGGUGUGCUUGGCCUGUGGCACCAGAGCUUUAGGGCACUGGUCUUUCAUCGCUGGCCAUGAAACAGCAAGGCUUUGAAAGGAAGGUAGAUGGAGUGUGCAAACCUUGUGGGAAUCUUUGCUUCUUGGCAAAAGAAUGAAUAAGUGAAUUUGGUCAUGGAGAAAAUUGCAUGCUAGGGGCAUGUUUGUAACUACCGUCUGUGUUUGUAGUAAAGCACUCGAUAAGUAUUUGCCAAAAGAAUGACCAAUAAAUCAAUACAGCUCUUAAAUUUUUCAAGCCAAUUUGACUUUAUGCAACUUUUGAAGCUCUUUCACAGAUAAUGAAACAAAGGCACAAAGAAAUUAAGUCAUACAAGGGCCUUGGAGAGCUUAUUGAGCAAAUAUUUUGUGUUUUAUUUAUCAGUUCUGACUAGGAUUUUAUAAUUUACUCCUAUAACUUCCAUAUAUUUUCCUUUUCUAAUGUAUUUUCUAGAUUGAGUC
rnacentral:lncRNA from 1 species